CAGUAUCUUGUGGACAUGUGAAUGAAUUCCACACAACCCGAUUUAUAGAUGAAGCCAUGGAGAUAUGGAACAACUGACUGAAUAGUCACUGCCCCACCCUUGGAGCCUUACACAUGACUCUUCUCCCACUCGAGUGACCACAGGAACUUUCUGAGCACCGUCUAACACAGCCACCUACUCACAGGGUCUUGUAACACGGUGGUUAAGAAUGUGACUUUGGAGCCAGCCUGCUGGGUUCUGAAUUCUGACUCAGCUGUUUACUAUGUGACCUUGGAUAAAGGAAACUGAGGCCUAGAGCGGUCAAAUACUUUUUGAGAUCUCUGCAGGCCACUGCUCUUCUGGCUACGCACUGACUCUGUAUCUCUUGCUGUUGAAGUUGUUGGCUGUCCACCUUCACCAUGGCCAUCAGCUUCUGGCAGUGUGGGAGCUGAGCUGCUGGAAUGCUCCUUUUUCUAACAGCAGGCUGUAGCCUUUCCUCCAUCCUUGCCCACUUCACACCGCAAAGCAGGCACUCUUCUCAGGAGGCUACUGGCUGUAGCCUGACUGUUUCACCUGGUUGCUUCUCCAAUUUCCCCCAACCCCUCUUUAUUUUUCCUUUCCUACUCCUUUUUUAUUUUUCUUUGCCAUGCAAUAUCAGAGAAGUGUGGUGACAAGGUGGGAGGAUUGUCCAGCUUCCUCUGGCAGUUGUUUUUAUGCUUUCUACUUCUGGUCUUCUGUACUUUCUAGAAUUCCUGUCAGUAGACAACUCAAGUUUUGUGUUUUUCUUUGGGGCUUUCAGGAUCUCACACAUAGCCCACAGUUUAUAGCUGUGAGCAGAGAAGGGGUGGUGUCAUGGCAGCACUGGCUUUGAGGGUACCAGUUGUCAUGUUAUUGAUGAACUCAACCCACCACAGUGGCUCUCUCCCUUGCUGAUGGAGUUUCAAUGUGUUGUCCCCCCAAAUCUCAUGUGGAAAUCUGAUCCCCAGUGAGGCGGUGUUGGAAACUGAUUGAGUCAU